CUACGGGGUGCAGCAGUGAGGAAUAUUGCACAAUGGAGGAAACUCUGAUGCAGCAACGCCGCGUGGAGGAUGACGCAUUUCGGUGUGUAAACUCCUUUUAUAUGUCAAGAAAAUGACGGUAGCAUAUGAAUAAGCUCCGGCUAACUCCGUGCCAGCAGCCGCGGUAAUACGGAGGGAGCAAGCGUUACUCGGAAUCACUGGGCGUAAAGGACGCGUAGGCGGGAUAGAAAGUCAGGUGUGAAAUCCUAUGGCUCAACCAUAGAACUGCACUUGAAACUUCUAACCUAGAGUAUGGGAGGGGAAGAUGGAAUUAGUGGUGUAGGGGUAAAAUCCGUAGAUAUCACUAGGAAUACCAAAAGCGAAGGCGAUCUUCUGGAACAAUACUGACGCUAAGGCGUGAAAGCGUGGGGAGCAAACAGGAUUAGAACCCUCGUAGUC
rnacentral:rRNA from 1 species